AGUGAACGCUGGCGGUAGGCCUAACACAUGCAAGUCGAACGGCAGCACAGUAAGAGCUUGCUCUUACGGGUGGCGAGUGGCGGACGGGUGAGGAAUACAUCGGAAUCUACUUUUUCGUGGGGGUUAAGGAAGGUAAACUUACCCUAAUACGGAAUCGCCCCUCGGGUGGAAGGCGGGGGAACUUCGCACCUGGCGGGAUUGAAUGCGCGAUGUCGGAUUUGGUUGUUGGCGGGGUGAAGGACCAACAAGGGGACGAUUCGUAGCUGGUCUGAGAGGAUGGUCAGCCACACUGGAACUGAGACACGGUCCAGACUCCUACGGGAGGCAGCAGUGGGGAAUAUUGGACAAUGGGGGCAAGCCUGAUCCAGCCAUACCGCGUGGGUGAAGAAGGCCUUCGGGUUGUAAAGCCCUUUUGUUGGGAAAGAAAAGCAGCAGGUUAAUACCCCGCUGUUCUGACGGUACCCAAAGAAUAAGCACCGGCUAACUUCGUG
rnacentral:rRNA from 1 species